UGUCCGGGCAUCUCUGACCGUCUCGUUACACAUGUGAUGGAGAGAGUGUGCAGGUUUUCUUUAAAUGGCAACACCACCCCGUCUUCGCGGUGAAAGCCUCGCUGGAUGUAACGUGACCCUUCGACCCCUUUUCAGUCCCCCCCAAAUCCACACAGCUUCUCAGAUAAGGACCACAGACGAAUCCCCACCCACCUCCAUCCCCUCAUACCUGUACACCCUUCCAAGUCCAGUCCCUGAAGAGAUCUUUUAAUUAGUUAUAAUUAAAUAUUUUUACAGUUUUUCUUUAUGAGCGGAGAGUAUUUAAGACAAAAAAGCCAUGACAGUUAGAGCGUUGUGUAUCCAUGUUAUUGGAAAAAAAACAACUAUAAUAAAUUCUAUGAAAAAUGUUCCAUUA